AGGGGGAGCAGUCGGUAGCAGCACCUGCCCCUCGUACAGCCAGAGCGAGAAGUGCCAGCCUCUCUGCACAGAGCAGCAGUGUUCAGCCUGGGCCAGACGUGCUGCAGUGAUGGCAUGAGGACGUCACGGCCAAUGUGAUGCGCCAGCUCCGUAUCAUGCGGCACUUGUGCCAGGUGCCCGAGGCGCUGCAGGGCCUGUGCCUCUGAGGCCACCAGCAACUCCCGCUCCCUGCUGCAGGUACUGCUCUGGCUCUCUGUAAAUGGGGAGCUAGUGGAAGGGGAAAUGGAGCCCCCUGGCACUCACAGAAAGCUGAUUACAGAAUGAGCCCGAACUGAGAGGCACCGUAUCCACCCCCCAUAAAGAGCCAGACUUCAGUGGUGAUACACCCCAGCUGGGGUAGCAACAGGAUUGAGAACGAGGUAGGAAGUUCAGAGCAGCAAGGAAAGCCUGGAGGGGAACUUGAGAAGAGAGGUUGGAAAAGUGCAGCAAAGAGAAAGAUGCAGACCUAGCUGUUGGGUCCAGGUCUAUGCCCAUGGACAAAAAGAGCAGAGAAGGAGAGCAUGCCUGGGCUGUGCUGAGAAGGUUAGCCCAGGGAGAAGGGCAUGAGAAAGUGUACAAGCGUGGCCUAAUGCCAAGAUGGGAGCAAGAGUUCUUUGUUUUGGGGGCAGAGAAGCAGGCCAUAUCAAAAGACACGGCCUGCUUAGGAAAUUGCUGAGUGGCUGAACGAGGGGCCAGGGCCCUAAGAAGUUAGAAAGAAAGGAGAAGGUGUCCUCUGACACAAACCCCCAUGAGGCAGGCAAGGUGGAGGUGGCUGGGGUGGCCAUGGACCUUGCAGACCCUCCACCAACACACCCUGCUGCAGGGAGAUGAAGGACGAAAUGAUUGGCCCAGAGAUGAAGCAGACUGGAGGAGGGACAAACACAAGGGUGGAGCAGUCCAUGGUGGGUUCUCAGAGCCUGACCGAAAAGGUUUUGGCAGAUGCAGCGGCAGUAGCAAAAAGGCAACAGAAGACGCUAAAGGCUUCAGAAGAGGCUCUGCAAGCAGCUGUUCAUGAGACUGAGUGGCUGCAGGAAGAGCGUCGGGAUACUGCAGAAGAGAAGGUUUGCCCCGAGCGAGCUGGCACUGGAGCUGCAGACACUGCGCACGGGCUGUACAAGCGCGCAGCCGGUGACAGCGAUGAGAUGAGGAGGGAUGAAGCUUGGAGAAGAAUAGAACUUGCCCCUGCGUGGGCCAGGUUCUAAGGAGGAGGGUAUAUAACGGGGGGCUUGGCCUGUGGGCUAUAAAGCCUGGAGCUAGGCCAAAUGGAUUACAGAGUGAGCUCCAGCUGAGGGGAAACCAGGGGAAACCGCAACAAAGGUACAGGAGCAGGCCUAGCUGUUGGGUACAGGGCCUUGGGGCAGAGCCUAGAAUCCAGGGUAGGACUGGUUCUCCCACGGUCUCUAAGGAAGGGGAUGUACAGGGCCAUAGAAAGGGCUACCAAGGCCAGCAAGGGCAGGCCGAGCCAAAGUCAGGCUGAGGAAAAGCCCCCAAGGGACAGAGGAUCUUGUUUCAGUUCAAGACAUUUUUUGACUUUUUGUUUGGGAUGAGCGCGACCCAGGAAGGAGUGGGACUAAAAGAUGGUUGCCUGGCCGAAGGGCUGAGUUCCCAGCCAAAAACCUGCUGGCGGGCGUGCUAGCCCAAGAAAUCUGUGACCCCAGGCCUUGAAGAAAGGGGCACCUAUCGCUGAGUGAACUCUGUUACAAGCCUGCUUCCAUUGUGGAAACAGCCUGGUAUUGGCGAGUGGUGGGGAUGGCCUGUGGGCGAGGAUGGCUGGAGGGGUCAUACAGGAGGGGCAGCAGCGUCCAGUGAGGAGAUCGGGGAAUGGGUUGUUUGCAGUCCUGCCACUGAGCGGUAACGUGACCCUGGCCAGGUCACUCUCCCACCUGGUGCCUCACUUUCUCUAUCUUUGAAAUGGGGAUCAUCCCGACCCACAUUAAGAAAGGGUUUGAUCCUCGGCUCUUGCUUCCCAAAUCCCUGCCCUCCUUGCCCCACACAGACCUCUGCCCUGUUGCUCAAACUCCCAUGCACAUGUUAGUGCCUGUGUCACCCCCGCAACUGCAAGGUCUCAUGUACAUCUCCUGUCAGCAAACUGAAGCUGCCACUAGAUCCAGAAUCGGAAUCGCAGUUCCUGUGCGCUGCCCUGAAUGGAGUCUAGACCCUGGGCAUGGGGAAGGCCAACGCUCACAUCCAGGUAGAUCAUCAACCUACUCCUCUGUCCCAGGAGCAGGAUGGCGUCUGGUUCGUGCUCCCUUCGGUAGCUGGAGCUGCUGAGUUGGGAGUGUGGUGGGCAGAGAUGGGAACAGGCCAUAGGAUGAAUCAAGUCUCAGGGGGAGACUCCCUGUGUGUGGGAGAGGAUGUUGCCCCUCUGUGGGGAAUCCCUUCCUUGCAGAUGCUGGGCUUUGGGUGCUGGACUCUGCCAGGAAGCCCAGCUCCCAUCCCUAGCAGCUUGGCUGUUCCCUACACUGCUGUGCACCAGGCCCACUGCAGAGAGCUGCUCUGGGGAAGGACUACAGAGCCUGCUGUCAUCCUGGCAGGUAUCACCCCAGUUUCCAUAAUCCUGACCCCUGGUCUCCCUCCGCUGGCAGGCUCUGAGCAAGGCCUGCCCAGAGAACAUGGAUGACGAGCUCUCGAUCCUGCUGACAGCACCCCCCAGCACAGACAAACUCCAGCACAUCUUGGAGGUGAGCAGAAUGGGGAGGGGCCGCAGGGGUUUUACCUUAGCCCUGGGGACUCCUAGAAAGAAGAGACUGGAAAAUCCAUGUUUCUAUUGGAUCCUUCCGAGUAUGCAUUCGUGAUAUAAACUCACUGGGUGACCUUGGGGUAACUCACUUCCCCCUUACGGCAUCAGUCUUCUCCACUAUCAAAUCUACACUGGGGAAGAAGGACAGAAGCCCCGACAACCACCUUCACCUCUGGGUGUCUGGUCUUGGGAGCCGAAACCAACUGGACUAUCUGCCCCAUCUCCUAAACUGCCCUGUCUUUCCCUCCUACGGCCUUGUCCUUAGUGCUGAGCCUGGCCCCUUCCCAGCUUGUCCCUGACCUUUAAAGGACUCUCCAAGCCCCUCCCAUGCCUGCUUCCCUUGGGGUCUCUCUCCUGGCUGAGCACAGGCUGCCCUUCUAUCUCUCAGCAGGCCUGGGUCCUAGUCACAGGCUGCGUCUUGUCACGUGACCCCCACACUUAUUCCCUUCACCCUAGGGAGCUGCAUCACCUGGGCCAGGUGCAGUUGAGCUCCAACCCCUUUCCUGGCCAUCUCACCCUGGGACAGGUUGAAACUGGUAACCUGUGGGUAACAGUAACUGGUUGCUCGCAAAGGUGCUGAAGACACAAUGGAAGAGGAAAUCCUUUGGCCUGGAUUGAAAUUAUUCCGACUGAAAGUGAAUGAGAGAAAAUAGGUCCAGAGUUCUCUUCCUAGCAGCAGAAAAUGUAGCGAUUGAUAGAGGUUCAGGUCAGAAAGGACCAUUAUGUGCAUCUAGUCGCCCCUCCUGUAUAACUCAGGGCCUAGAAUGUGACCAAGUGGUUCCUUCAGCCAACCAUAGCAUGGGACUGAGCCAGAGCAUGUCUUUUGGAACAACAUCCACAUGCAGGAGAGCCAGCUGGCUACCAGAAAAUCUCUCUUCUGCAGUGACGUGGGGUUAAGGGACACGGGGGAAAAGACAUGGAGGCUGCGACUAAACUUAGAGCAGGGUGGGAAACCGAGACACAGUUGGGACCUGACUAAACUACAGGUCUGUCAUGCAUUUGUAAUCUGCUGACCCCCACAUGUUGUUCAGAGCCUAUGGACAACACAGCUCCUAAAGUUUGUUUGUUCUGUGCUUAUCCCGUAUGUACCAGCAGGGCUGGAUGGCCUUUCUCACUGUGAUGUGGGGAGCAGGUCCUGGGUACUAAGGAUCUGAAGAAGCUCUCAAGACUAAUUUUUUAAAAUAAUUGUUAUCAAUGAAUUGGGAGAAAACAUACAAUCACUGCGGAUAAGAUUGGGGGGUGACAAAAUACAGGCAGAGUGGUAAUUCCUGAUGGCCAGAGGGCAGUGAUAUACAGCGAUCUGGCUCAUUCGGCCACCUGGACCCAUUCAAAGAAAACAAGUUUGAGCAGAGCCCAAUGCAAGGUCCUAUACGUAGCCACAAGGCACGCCGGCCACACCUCCAGAAUGGGGACGUGUAUCCAGGAAAGCAGUGACUCUGAAAAGGAUUUAGGGGCCAGAGUGGAGAAGCCACUCAAUAUGAGCUCCCAGUGUGAUGCUGUGGUGAACAGGGCUAAAGCCAUCAUUAGACGAAGGAGCAGAGCCGUGAGUAGGAUAGGGAGGUGACACAGCAGCAGUGAGACUGCUAUUGGAAUACUGCCUCCAGUCUUGGUGUCCUCCUUUGAAAAAGAUGGUCCUAGAAAUUGGAGCUGGGGCAGCAAAGAGCCACCAAAUGUUCUGAGGGCUGGAGAAAAAUGCCUUCUAGUGAGCUAUUGAAAGAGCUCAACCUGUUUAGCUUAUCAAAAGAAGAUUGAAAGGUGACUUCACUGAAGUGUUGAAAUGCCUUAAUGGAGAGAAAAUAUUGGGUAUUAAAGGGCUCUUUAAUCAAGCAGAGAAAGGCAGAAAAAGACCCAAUGGCUGGAAGGUGAAAAGAGACAAAUUCCUAUGACAAAUAAGGCACAAAUAUUCAACAGCGAGGAUGAUUGAACACAGGAAGAAGCUACCAAGGAAAGUGGUGGAUUCUCCAUCUCUUGAUCUCAUUAAUAAAGACUAGAUGCCUUUC